rnacentral:lncRNA from 1 species
CGGUGCGAGGUCAGAAUUACCUAUAUCUUGUUAACUAUUAUUAAAUGUAUUUAAAUUAUAAAUAUUAGAAAUAAAAAGGAAAAUAAUAUAUUACAAUAUAUCACAAUAAUCGUAAGGGGGACCCUGUUAAUUUUUACAAGCAGCAUCUGAAAACGUAUUUUCUCUCUGUUAUCUCGGUCAGUGUCAUGUACUUGCCGAGGUACGGCCACGGCGACUCACUCCUCGGGAUUAAAUGUUCUCCGACCUCAUCCUAUGCCAUCAUUUCAUCAAAUAAUUUUUGCGUGACUGGCCAAGGAGUGGUACCAUCCGGAGCAGAAGGUGGCGGUAAUGCAUCAUAAAGAUGAUUGGUUGCUAUCCACCUUAAACGCGAACAAGAGCGUCACUACUGAUCCAGGAUCAGCGAUAUUAGCAGUUGUAUUUCCCGAUUUGAGUUUGAGCUUCAGAAAUGCUUGCGAAAUGUAGCUUGUGUGGAAGCUACCGCACUACUUGGUAAAAGUAGCUUCGCUACUGAAAAGCUAUUCGAUUCAGAAAGUAGCGAAGCUACGACCAAGCUACUGAGAAAUGUAGUCAAACUAGCUUCGCUGCUUGUAGCGACGCUACUGCCCAACACUGAUUAUUAAUUUUACCAUGUUGAACACGUCAAGGUAACAGUUGCUGCACGACCAGUAUGCGACAAUCGUUUCCAAAUGCCGUGUGCUGUGGAAAGGAGGCUUAAAGUUGUUAAAUGAGGCUAUGACGUAGUCAUCAUCCACACGGAAAUGUCCAAAGAUAUCACCUGCCUUACCGUGCACGUUUAAACCUCACUGAGGUUUUACAGACAUAAGUUUCAUUCAAUUAUUCUGGCAGGACCAAUUUAUUUAGGGGCAUAUUUCACCAUCUACUGGCGUGAUCACUACCCUCGUUUUGCCGCAGGACAGCAGUGUUCUGCAGUCACAGGUGUGUGUCCAUCAGUGUCCAUCUGUCUGUCUGCUGUCUGCAGGAUGAUGACUGACCUCUUUCCCUGUGGGGCCAGUGGUUACACAGAAAUGGAGGGUGAAUCUGUGGAUAUUCCUCUCUCUGUUGAGGAGACCAGACCAGAUCCAGUCCAGAGUUCAGUGCGUCCAUUCACUCUCUGAGGAUGAUGAGGAUGAUGAUGAUGAAGAUGAAGAGCAGCUUGAUGAGUCAAGAGUCCGGUUUCUCUGGACUUAUGAAAUGCUUUCCAUCUCUGAUUACAAAAAUGUCCAUGCCUUUAAAAGUUUUGCUCUUUAUGGGUUUCCUGAAAUCAUUCACUUUUCAUUAAUCAAAUUGUUAAAAAAUUCUGUUAAAUUAUAAGAUC